rnacentral:lncRNA from 1 species
AUGCCGACGGACUGUGUCCGGCGAUGGGCACGGGGUGAGUGGGGAGGCCGAGGGCCCGGGACUGCCUUUCGCUGCUUGUUGGGGUUACAGGUGAAGGGGUUAUGGGUGAAGAACAACCCAGGGCCAGCGCUUGGCCUUCCCGCCACCGUGGCGGCCGCCCCGCGCUGUCUGUGAGGCGCCAGUUCCGGGGCGCUGCUCCCGGCCUCCCCUCGCUCUGAGGCUCGGGGUCCCCAGCUCCGCGUAAACUGCACGAUUUCGCCCUCUGCUCAGCUCCCCUCUGCCCCCUCUUUCCAAGAGAGACUUCCAGAUCCCACAUUUUCUUGACUGAUUUUUAAGGAAGCACUAAGUAAUAUGGAUGAUUAUGACAAAACCUGCUUGGAGUCUGCAUUAGUUGGUGUUUGCAAUAUCGUUCAGCAAGAAUGGGGUGGUGCAAUUCCUUGCCAGGUUGUCCUGGUGACAGACGGCUGUCUUGGCAUUGGUAGAGGGUCACUGCGACAUUCCCUAGCCACUCAAAAUCAACGAAGUGAGAGCAACAGGUUUCCACUACCUUUUCCUUUCCCAUCU